UAAACCAGGAUUAGAUACCCUAUUAUUCCUAAACCAAACAAAACCUAAAGAAGUACUUGCUAUAAGCAUGAAACCUAAAGGAUUUGGCGGUGUUUUACCUGACCAGAGGAACCCGUUCUAUAAUCGUCAGUACGCGUAACAUCUUACCCCAGGUAAGCCCAUAUACCUCCAUUUUAAUCACACUAAAAGGUAAUAUUCAAAUGGGUCAACCAAUAAAUUAGGUAAGGUGUGGCAUCCUAGGGGACGAAUAGGUUACAUUUUACAAACAAGUGGACUCUUUAUGAAAAAUAGAAGAAAAAGGAUUUGUUAGUAAUUUUGUAAGAACGCAAA
rnacentral:rRNA from 1 species